CCUACGGGAGGCAGCAGUGAGGAAUAUUGGACAAUGGGCGCAAGCCUGAUCCAGCCAUGCCGCGUGCAGGAAGAAGCAUCUAUGGUGUGUAAACUGCUUUUGUACAGGAAGAAACACUCCCUCGUGAGGGAGCUUGACGGUACUGUAAGAAUAAGGACCGGCUAACUCCGUGCCGGCAGCCGCGGUAAUACGGAGGGUCCGAGCGUUAUCCGGAAUCAUUGGGUUUAAAGGGUCCGUAGGCGGUUUAAUAAGUCAGUGGUGAAAUCUGGUCGCUCAACGAUCAAACGGCCAUUGAUACUGUUAGACUUGAAUUAUAAGGAAGUAACUAGAAUAUGUAGUGUAGCGGUGAAAUGCUUAGAUAUUACAUGGAAUACCAAUUGCGAAGGCAGGUUACUACUUAUGGAUUGACGCUGAUGGACGAAAGCGUGGGGAGCGAACAGGAUUAGAUACCCUGGUAGUCCACGCCGUAAACGAUGGAUACUAGCUGUUCGGAGCAAUCUGAGUGGCUAAGCGAAAGUGAUAAGUAUCCCACCUGGGGAGUACGUUCGCAAGAAUGAAACUCAAAGGAAUUGACGG
rnacentral:rRNA from 1 species